AAUAGAUAAGGGGGAAUAUGUACGACCUCUCAGUCGAGUUUUCACUCGGUGUUUUCAGUGAGCUAACUUUAAAGCCCUUUUCAAUUAAGCUUUUAUCAGAAACCUCUCUGCUACUCUGGGGCGUAAUAACCUAUUAAAGAAUGAACAAUUUUAUAUCAGCGAUUAUAAAACGUUUUAUAUAGUAGUUUUUUGUUUUUUUUUUAUAGACGCUGAACGUUACUAAAGAAAUUAGUCAUUCUUUGUCCGGUUUUUCUUAGGAAGAUAAAGCACCACAACUUAGAAGGGAAGUUAGCUUUCUAGCAUGAUGCGCUUACUAAUGCACUCGAAAUAGCGUCCUAUCAAAGUGGAAAGGGAUAUAACUAGGUUCUAAGUAACUUUCAGCGCAAAGCACUAUAAGACAAAGUUAGCUAAAAUGAGCCAAUACAGGUGGAAAGCUUUAUCAACUUCGACUCAGGUAACCUUAUUACAUCUUAAAUAAUAAAAUCGCAGUAG